rnacentral:rRNA from 1 species
GAUGAACGCUAGCGGCAGGCUUAAUACAUGCAAGUCGAGGGGCAUCAAGGUACACGAAAGUGUAUUGUUGGCGACCGGCGGACGGGUGAGUAAUAGGUAGGUAACCUACCUCAUACUGAGGCAUAGCUGGGAGAAAUUCCAGGUAAUUCCUCAUGAGGUUAUAUGACACAUGUGAUAUAAUCAAAGGUAUCGCAAGGUACUGGUAUGAGAUGGGCUUACUGACCAUUAGCUAGUUGGUGAGAUAAGAGCUCACCAAGGCGAAGAUGGUUAGGGGUUUUGAGAGAGAGAUCCCCCACAUUGGAACUGAGAUACGGUCCAGACUCCUACGGGAGGCAGCAGUAGGGAAUAUUGGGCAAUGGGCGGAAGCCUGACCCAGCCAUGCCGCGUGAAGGAAGACGGCCUUAUGGGUUGUAAAACUUCUUUACUAUGCGACUAACUAGAUUUACGAGAUAAUUCUAUAGAAUGUAGCAUAGCAAAAGCACCGG